UACGAAGGGUGCAAGCGUUACUCGGAAUUACUGGGCGUAAAGCGUGCGCAGGCGGUUCGUUAAGUUCGUUGUGAAAGCCCCGGGCUCAACCUGGGAACUGCAAUGGAAACUGGCGGGCUUGAGUGUGGCAGAGGGGGGUGGAAUUCCGCGUGUAGCAGUGAAAUGCGUAGAGAUGCGGAGGAACACCGAUGGCGAAGGCAGCCCCCUGGGCCAACACUGACGCUCAGGCACGAAAGCGUGGGGAGCAAACAGG
rnacentral:rRNA from 1 species